ensembl:misc_RNA Metazoa_SRP Metazoan signal recognition particle RNA
CCUGGACGCAAUAGAGCAUGCCUAUAGUCCUAGCCACUUGGGAGUCUGAGACAGGAGGAUCACUUGAGUCCAAGAGUUCUGGGUUGUCAUGCACUAUGCUGAUUGGAUGUCUACACUAAGUUCAGCAUCAAUAUUGUGACCUCCUGGGAGCAGGAGCCCAGGUUACCUAAGAAGGGGUGAACUGUCCCAAGUUGGAAAUGGAUCAGGUUAAAACUCCUGUACGGAUCCGUAGUGGGACUGCACCCGUCAAUAGCCACUGUACGCCAGCUGGGACAACAUAGCAAGAACUUGUCU